GCGGGAAACGGGUCUAUUGUAAAUAGUUGGAUUGUGGGUAAAACGGAGUUAAAUGUUCAACCGCUGCAGAGGCUUCUGGGGAAAAUAAAGGGGUGACUGUGUGUUUGGCACUGGAGAAACAGAGAAAGUGAGGGGGGCGCUAAGAUGGCUGGAAAGGUUGGUUAGCGAUGCAGGUCCUUGAGGAAAAGAGGUUCUCGGAUCGAAAGCAUCAUUUUCUUUGUUUGCUGAUGAGUGAUGUUCUAAUAAGACGUUCGUUAUGAACGCUCCCUGCGCGUCCUUCUUCGCCCCAUCCGAACCCAGAGCGCUGCGCGCCGCAAUAUGUUUACAGCUAUACACGGUCUCCUGCUAAUUUCUGUAGGGUCGUGUCCCAUGAGGAUGACCUGGUGAACCUGCCAUCUGUGACAUGUUGGCUUUACGCGCUGUGUCACUCCUCCAUUGCUCGUGUAAAAGGGACAGUCCGCUCUGUCAGAUGUUCCUUUAAAAAAGUGCAUCCCCUCCGCCGCGUGGGCCGGUUCGUGGGAGAUGACGCCCCGUCCACGAGCGCAACUCAACUCGUGAACCACUCAGGACCGGGGGUUUGAGCGCCGCGGCUCGGGGAUCCGGGGUCGUGUGCUCGUUUGCGGGAGCGGAUCCAGAGAGAUGCUCGGCCGACAACAACACCGAGCCCCGAGAGAGAGAGAGCCGCACCGUUAUAUUUGUGCAAUCGUUUCCAAAAUCGUUGCCUUUAAAUAAAAAAAUACUUUAAAAUUAUUUAAAAAAAAAAAAAAUAGCGACCAAUUCAACAAAGGGGUCUAAAUAAGCGCUUUACGAUUUUUUUUUUUUCUCUUUUCUUCGAAUAAAGGUAACAAUGGAUGUGGCGGAUCUGUCGUUCGCUUUGCCUGCGAUUCUUUUCACGCUUCUUGCGAUUGUUUUAGCGAAUACGAUUUUCGGUAAGAAAACCACGAGUGUCCCGCAGUCCGAGGCGCAGAGCGGUGCUCCCGCUGAGAGCGACUGGACCGCGGACGAGCGAUGUGAGCGUGGACGAGAGGCGGACACACCGGCCCUGCCGCCUCCUCGGACCAUAAUAAAGGGGGAAUUUGAGGGAGCGGAGCCCGUCGGCGGGGGGCAGCUGCAGGAGGACGGAGCGGCACCCGCCGAGUCCCCGCCGGGCCCGCAGGUGGAGGACGACGUGGGCGUGAGCACGAGCACGAGGUGCCCGGGACGCCGCCAGGUGUCCGGGGAACCGGAUUAUAACACGGAAGGGAGUCCUGAAAUCGUGGGUGAAGGAGACUGUAAAGCAGUGCCGGAGGCUCAGACAGCGUUCUUGAAGACAACCAAUUUGGUGCAUGACCCUAUCCAAGACGUGGACGUCAUCUCCAGACCCAUCCCUGUCAAUGUGGCACCCUGCCACCUCUCACUUGAGAGGGAUGUUUUUCUACACCAUCUUCCUGACGUGGAAAUUCACAAGACCAGCCCAGACUCAGAUUCGGAACCUGCACUUGAACAGGUGGAGGAUGAUCUGGCUGCACUGGAGGAGAACCUUGCAGAGUACAGUCCAGAAAAUGAGGAUGAUGAAGAUACGAUUGCGGUCGGUACAGAGGCCCAGGAUCUCUCCCUGAGAUACGCUCUUGGGAAGCUGAGAACCAGCCAGCUGGAGGAGAUGAUGACCAAGGAGGAGGUGGAGGAGAAGGAGCAGAGGGGGGAGAGAGAGCACCUAGCUGCCAUAUUCCAGCUCUUCAGAACUCAGCAGGAAUCCUUUACUCGCAUGAAGAAGGAAGACUUUUUUAGAAGACUUAUUAGAAAUGUACAAAUUGUUGCUCAUCCAAAUAAAAAACCCUCGCAUUUUAAAUUUCGCCAAUGUGCAGCCAGUUUCUUGCCUUAUUUAGUGACUUGAUUCUACCUGCUUAAGAAUGAAUGAAUGAAUGAAUGAAUGG
ensembl:lncRNA